CUAGUCCUCCUAUAUAAUAACAGCCCAACAGUUUACAUUCUCCUACAGCAAUCCCCAAAAAUUAAGAAAUGGAGAAAGCAAGUUCACUAAAAUUCAGUUGCUUAGUGGUUCUGUUGGUUUUGGUCAUGGCAACAGGAGGAGACAUGCCUUGGUCGAUAGUGCGUGGGGUGGAAGCACAACGCCCAUGCCGAACCAUAAAAGACUGUGGACACAGUGCCCCUGGGGAUUAUUGCUUUGAUGUUAAAUGCCUUGACCACUUUUGUAUAUGCGAUGAUUAACAAAGAAAUAAUGCCGCAUUAGUCUCAUCAUUAUCAUUAUGUAUGCUUCUUUCAUAAUAAGACUGAUUAAUCCUUUAAUUGGAAGAGAUUAAAAGGUCAAUUAUUAGUAAAACAUGGUUAUUGUUUUA